GAUGAACGCUGGCAGCGUGCCUAAUACAUGCAAGUCGAGCGAAUGGAUUAAGAGCUUGCUCUUAUGAAGUUAGCGGCGGACGGGUGAGUAACACGUGGGUAACCUGCCCAUAAGACUGGGAUAACUCCGGGAAACCGGGGCUAAUACCGGAUAACAUUUUGAACCGCAUGGUUCGAAAUUGAAAGGCGGCUUCGGCUGUCACUUAUGGAUGGACCCGCGUCGCAUUAGCUAGUUGGUGAGGUAACGGCCCACCAAGGCAACGAUGCGUAGGCGACGCGAGGAGGUGAUCGGCCAAACUGGGACUGAGACACGGCCCAGACUCCUACGGGAGGCAGCAGUAGGGAAUCUUCCGCAAUGGACGAAAGUCUGACGGAGCAACGCCGCGUGAGUGAUGAAGGCUUUCGGGUCGUAAAACUCUGUUGUUAGGGAAGAACAAGUGCUAGUUGAAUAAGCUGGCACCUUGACGGUACCUAACCAGAAAGCCACGGCUAACUACGUGCCAGCCGCCGCAGUAA
rnacentral:rRNA from 1 species